GGCCGUGUGGUCUAGUAGUAUGAUACUCGCUUUGGGCGUUUACGAACUUGCGAGUGGUCCAGGGUUCAAUUCCCUGCUCGGCCC